rnacentral:rRNA from 1 species
UGACCUCUGACCUCAAAUCAGGUAGGAC